rfam:Schistosoma haematobium scaffold416_23, whole genome shotgun sequence.
AUCCAGCUGACUAGUCCCAAGUAGGACGAAACGCGCGUCAAACUGAAU